GAUGAUAAGUUAAUAUAUACUCUAUAAUCUAUCUCUUAUACUAAAGCAAAAUAAUGGCUGACUAUUUAAUUUGAUGAGGCUAUUCUCUCUAGCCAGAGAAUUGGGAAUUUAGACGCCAUCUCUUAAUUCUCCUUCAAAUCAUAUACCGCCUCCCAUAAAUUCUCUCCAUCAGUUUCAAUCUUUCCAUAGUUAUGAAAUCCUUCUCUUGCAGGUCCUAUAAUCAAAUUAUAAACCCUCAAUCUUUCCCAUGUUUUGUUUUUCCACGGGCUACAACCUCUGUAUCUGCUUCAUCUUUCAAAAUUGAUUGAGCCCUAAACAUGAGAGAAUCACAGCAUCUUCUGAUGAAAAAACCCCUAAAUCUUCAUACGAGCUUAAUCAACGCCGCCACCACCACCUGUAUGCGUGAUUCUUUCAAGGGUUUGCAUCUCUUUCUGUUGGAACCCUUAAUCAGUCGUCGGUUUCUCAAUCGCAACAGAUAUGUUUCAGAUUUUUUUAGUUUUUUUUCUUUUGAUUCAAAUUGUUACUCGCCUCAUUCAAGUUCGCAUUUUUUUUGUAUUAUUUCCCCUACCCUGUUUGAGUGAUCCUAUUAAUUUUAGAUUAGUUAGCAUAGAUGAUACAUCUAUGUCGUUUUGUUGAAGAUUUAAACGAGUAUGAUUGAUAAAAACUGAUUGAAUUGAUAAUAUAGCAAGAAUUAUAACCAAUAAUCUAUUUUGCAGUUAAAUUACAGGGUCUUUAUUGACACCAUUGGUAGAAGAUUUGGAAUUAAAAAAAGAAGAAAAAAUCAAACAAUUUAAAGAUAUAAAGAGUCAAAUUGAAAAAAAAAAUAAUGGUGAAAUUUCUGGAUUGAGUUAAUUUGCAGAUACAUGUAAUCUGGAUUGGAUUGAUGAAGAGCAAUCGAUGUCAUAAUAAUAACUUUGACUCGCAGUUGAUACGUUUUGGUACGAUUGGAUUGGAUUGGAUUGAUGAAGAGCAAUUUCUCUAACUACAAUACUCCCAAACAUAUAUAUUUAAUAAUCAGUUUUGAAGUGUAUUGACAACGAGUUUAUAAAGUUCCAUUAUUUAAUAUAUGUCAAGCCUUCUCCAAUUGGUCGGUCAGUAAUGUUUAUUGGUUAAUAACUAAUAUGAAAUGGCCGUUUCUGUUAUGCAGGGACGCAUGUCAAACAGGAGGCGCAACAGUGAAAGAAAAAGAUCCAACGGUUGUUGAAUGCUGCAGUUACCGGAAACCUCGAUUUCUUGAAGAAGAAAGAGAGAGAUGGCGGAAGAGGUGGUGGCGUUGAAGGAGAUGUAUAACGAGGAAGAAGUGAGGAAGAUUUAUGGGUUUAAGAUUAGCAGUGAUGGGUAUGCGGAGGUCACAUGUGGAUGCCCUAGCUACUGUUUAAAAUGUAAAGCCAAAUAUCAAGUUUGUGAGAUGCAGGGCACUUUUUAUGACAACAAGAUAUUACAUAUAUCUGAAGUCGACAUAAGAGAGACCAAAAUGAUAGGCGACAGUCCUUUAAUUAUUAUCGGUAUGGUGUUGGUGACUUGGAUUAGAAAGAAGUCGAGAAACAGAGUAGUUAAUUGAUUUGAAUGGUUCAGUUUUGUAGAAAAUUGCUAAAAGUGGAGGGUACCGAUGAAGUUCAGGCGGACCUACCACUAGAACUCUUCGCUUUUGAUUGCAAGCAACAAGGGAAGUUUUUUUCUUUUGAUGUUUUGUCUUCCAUACCUGGAUAAUCUUGAAUUAAUAAACAAAGAAAAUGUUUUCAUGUUUUUCCGAUUAUGAUUCUGAAAUCGCAGUUCGUGUUUCAAUAUCACCAUCCAUCCUUAUUCAGCCGUAUCCAAACCCUAAUUCUCAUCUAGGCCUCGCUUUGAAGCUUCUAAUAUUAUAAUAAUAUGCAAGCUAGGUGAAUGGUAAAAGUUUGUUUUUAACUUAUACAAUUUGUAUUUCUUGAAAAUCUUGAAUCACAUGAAGGUUAAAGAUUUAGGAUAUGUUGCGGGGUACAAAUGUUCAUGCAUUGUGUACAACUUUUUUGAUUGAUCUGUUGCAUAUAAAUGGAUUUGAUUAUUGAUAUCUUUUGAUAUUUAGGGACAAGAUAAACAUGAGUUGGAGAGCUUAGUAAGGUGUGAUUCUUGGAAAUGUACACUUGAGCUGCAGAGCUUACUUUUAUGUUUAUGUAAUGUGAUUGGUGUAGAAAAGCAUGUUAAAAAGGGAAGAGAAAGGCAGUAGUUUUAUAUAAUAUUCAAGUUUUGUUUGAAUGUAUCAAUAGAUAAUUUUUGGCCUUUUUUUAAAAAAAAAAAUUUCAUUUUAAUAAUUAUUGGUUUUAGACCCUGUAGAAGGUGUUUUUAAGAGUUCAAAGACAACCAUUUGUUGAAGAGGAUAUAGAAACUGAAAAUCAUCUCAACUAUACAGGUACCUGGCUUUCAAACUGAUGUGAUCGAUUAUCUGAAGCUUUUGCAAAAAACUGUUGUUUGUGCUGGAUAAGUCCUUUGAGUUCUAUGAUGCAAAUAUAGAAGUUAAGGAUUGAUAGUGUUUGAGUUAGAAAUUCAAGAUUAUAUUGAGUUGUUAUUGAUGUUAUUAGUCUCAACUAAAGUUCGUUCAUUAUAUUGGAAUGUAAAUUGUGAAAUCCGUCCUCAAGGCCUACAUCAGAGGAGAAACCGAGGUACUGGAGAAAUAUUGUUCCCCUGAAAUAAUUGAGAGAUGUAAAGCCGAGUAUCAAGUUUGUGAGAUGCAGGGCACUUUUUAUGACAACAAGAUAUUACAUAUAUCUGAAGUCGACAUAAGAGAGACCAAAAUGAUGGGCGACAGUCCUUUAAUUAUUGUCGGGUUUCAUACAAAACAGGUGUAUUAUGUAUGAGAUAGACUUGGUGAAAUAACAGAAGGAGGCAAGGAUACUAUCCACACAGUUCAUUAUUUGUGGGCGAUGCAGCUUACGGAGGCAGAAGAAGGUUCUCAUAUGCCAGUUUGGAAGCUUAGAGAUAUGCAACAAGUUGGGGUCCGGGCGCUCAUUUGAUCAUGAAAUUGGUUCGAUAAGGUUUUUUACCCUUCAUUGCAUUUAAUCAUUUCGGUUGCUGGAAAAAAAUUUGGUUUUAGAUAUAUAUUUGUUUAACUUCGUGCUGAUUAAAGAAGGAAUGAAAUGGAACAUGAGGUCCUGCAUCUGUUUUUUUUUUAUAAUUAUCAUCCAUUGUAAUGGAUUUUGACUUGAGCAGUUUCUUCAUGAAACGUAGUAGCAAAAUAAUAAUGUCAAAU